GAGCAGCUGGAGGAACCAGACACAGAACCUGCUCUAGAACCUGAUCUAGAACCAAGCCAGGACUUGCCCGACGCCACUGGGAAACUCAAGAGGAGGAGAAAGAAAAACAGAGGAGGAGACUGCAGUAACAACACCCGACAAGCACGGAGGCGCUGUGUUUGGAACAGCAAAGGACAGCGGCACUAACAGCCACAUAUAGGAGGAGAAGAAGAAGGAAAAGAAUGUGACGCGACAGAAAGACGAGGAGAGGGCAGUGGAGUGGAGGUCUCCCGUGGAGUUGAAGGGGAGAAACUCCAGCGGUUACCAUAGUGACAAGCUAAACAGGAAGAGAAAACGGGGAGAUGAUAUCGUGUCCUGUCUCCAUGGCGAUUCUGAAACGCCCAAAACCAAGAAGAAGAAAAAUAAAUAUGACUGUGACACUGACUAAAAGACUGAAGCAAGAUUAUUUUGUGAAACUGAAUGAACAUUAAAAGAUGGUGAUGAUGACCAUGAUGACGACUAUAAGGAAAUGCCUUAAGUAGACCUGGUGACUUUGUUUAUUUAGCUAAUCACAUCCCCAGGACUCCCAUGUUGUUGGGGUGAUCCUUCUCACAGCUGUUUACAUUGUUUCCUAUAGAAACCUGCAGAAGUAAUUUAUUUUAGAACUACAGCUUUACCCUUCUAGCUAUCACUAGAGCACAUCAACAUGCUGUAGGGUUGUUCAACAAGUCUUAACCAGUGUCUUAAACGUGUCAAUCUUCAAUCUGAAAUGGAAGCCAAUUCCCUAUGGAGUGCACUAGUUUUGACCAGGGCCACAUUGGGCUAUUCUAUAGGGCCUGCCCUUGCCAAAAGUAGUGCAUUAUGUAGAAUGCCAUUUUGGAUAGGUUGUUUGUUGUUUUAUGCCGUUUUCCUCACGGUCUCAGAAAGAGGGAAACAUGUUGCUAGUGUCCAGCCCUUCUACGUUUGUAUAGGUGCCACAUUGAAGGCUUCAGUAAAGCAGAGAAAAGUGUUUAUAUUCCUUAAAUAAUUAUGGAUUUGGAAGUGACUGUGUUGUGUGCCUUUCAUAAGUUUGUGUGGUAGAGGAUAGCAGUUAUAAUUGUAGAUGUGGCUGGUCAUUGAGUGAUGUACUGUAUGUCCUCAAAAACACCUCCCCAAGUCACCUGAGUGGGUGUGUUGUUACAUGUUGUACAGUUUGUCACAUUGUUUACCAGGAAGUUAUUAUUAUACAAUCUGGACGGUUUAUACAGGGAGGGGGAGUGCAGAGUCAUUUCAAAUAUGUUGAUCCACAACCCUCCCCUCACUUCCUGAGAGGAACAGAAUGGAAAACAGAGCUGAACACACAGGUGAGAAAUAGAUUGCUAGGCCUACUGUUAGGUGUGAGUGUCUAUCUAAUAUGAUUGUGUGAAAUACAGUUUUACUGCCGCUGUUUUUCGAAGUAAUAAUUCCCUACAUCUCGAUGCAGAGUUGCAGUGAAAAGAUAAAGACAAGACAUAUGCGUGUUGGGAUGUUUAUCGCUGCAGACAUGAGACCAUAUUAUGUUGUGGAAAACAAAACUUUUAAAAUACGAUGAAAGUGCUUGAGCCACGCUACGAAAUCGACAAAUUAUCCAAGGCAUCCUCUGUUGCCCUCACCACAGAUGGGUGGACCUCCAGGGCAACGGAAAGCUACGUGACUGUGACUGCUCACUACACCACAGAGGAGUGGGAGAUGCGAAGUCCGGUGCUACAGACACACCCCCUCUAUGAGAGUCACACAGGUACAAAUCUAGCGCAGGUACUGCUAGGAGCAGUAGCAGAGUGGAAGCUAGAGAGGCCCAAUAACAAUAUCCCAAUCAUCACAGAUAAUGCCAGAUAAUGCUGUGAUAGAAGAUGGACUGGGGCCACAGAUAGCUUGCUUUGCACAUGUGAUAAAUUUAGCAUCCUAAAGGGGAAUCUCAGUGAACCAGGUGGACCGCCUUCUUUUUCCACCGAAGCACAACUGCCGCUCAUGUGCUUAAGACUAAGCAAGAAAUGCUACAGCUACCAACCCACAAGCUCAUACACCAUGUCACAACAAGAUGGAACUCCACUUCUGACAUGUUGGAGCACUAUCUUGAGCAGCAGGCAGCUGUAUACUCUGCACUGACAGACAAGACCCUGGAAGAAAAUAGACAUCUUCACCUUGUUUGAUGAUGAGAAGGUGGCCGAGGAGUUCCUCCAGGUGCUCAACCCCCUCAAAACGGUUACAACCCUAUUGAGCACUGAAUCUGCACCGUCUGUGUCCAUGAUCCUACCUCUGAAAACAAGGAUUCUACAAUCUAUGGCCCAAAGUGAGGAAGACAGCACCAUCACUAGAGAUGUCAAGGCUGCCAUUAGAGAGGACCUGAACCCCAGAUACCCCCUAAUCUACAGAACUACCUUCAUAGAUCUACUGCACUGGAUCCAAGGUUUAAGUCCCUGUCUCACCUAGACCCUGCCCUACACCGGAGGACAUACAGUGAGCUCACCACUGAGAUUGUGGCCACUGAAGAGGGUCAAGCCACAGAGCCGACAGGACCAGACUCAGAGGCAUCUCCUCCACUAAAUAAUUCGGCCGUGAAGGAGCUUUUUGGGGAGACCUUUAUGAGCAAAGACACAGGCAAGACGUUUGCCAACACCAUCAAAGAGGAGGUGGCAUCCUACAAGGCAGCGACCAGUAUUCCAGUGGAUGGUGAUCCACUUGCAUGGUGGAAAAGCAAUGAGUGUAAAUACCCUCACAUUGCCAUGAUGGCAAGAUGCUACCUGGCUAUGCCUGGCACUUCAGUUCCUAGCGAGAGGGUGUUCUCCAUAGUAACUGCAAAGAGGUCUACCCUCUCCCCAGACUAUGUAGACAUCCUCAUCAUUUUGAAAAAUGAUUUGUAGUUAUUAGCUCAAGCCUGCUUUGCUUUCUUUCUUUUUUUAAACUCUUUUUUAAAGACACAGGCAAUUUCUUCAUUCACUAUUGUUUAAAUGAAGAAGGUAUCAUGCCUCAUAUUGAACUUUAAUUUAAGAAUUGAGUAUUGAAUAUUUUAUUUUUAUAUUUUAUUUAAACAUUGAAAAGUUCCUUAAGGAAGAAAUGGAAAGCGAAGUUAUAUUUGUCUCUCUUUUUUUAUUGCUGAUCCUAAAAAUUAUCCAAUCCAUGACUCAAAACCAUGAUACGAUCCGAACCAUGAGUUUUGUGAUCCAUUGCACUACUAGUGUAUAGUGUUGAGUCAUCUGCAUACAUGGACACACUGACUUUACUCAAAGCCAGUGGCAUGUCAUUAGUGAAGAUCGAAAAAUGUAAGGGCCCUGACAGCUGCCAUGGGGAAUUCCUGAUUCUACCUGGAUUAUGUUAGAGAGGCUUCCAUGAAAGAACACCCUCUGUGUUCUAUUAGAUAGGUAACGCUUUAUCUACAAUAUAGCAGGGUGUUUAAAGCCAUAACUCAUACGUUUUUCCAUCAGCAGACUAUGAUUGAUAAUGUCAAAAGCUGCACUGAAGUCUAACAAAACAACUCCCACAAUCUUUUUAUCAAUUUAUCAAAAAAUGUAUCAGUUUCUCUUAGCCAAUUAUCGGUCAUUUGUGUAAGUGUCGUGCUUGUUGAAUGUCCUUCCCUAUAAGCGUGCUGAAAGUCUGUUGUCAAUUUAAUUACAGUAAAAUAGCAUUGUAUCUGGUCAAACACAAUUUUUUCCAAAGGUUUACCAAGGGUUGGUAACUGGCUGAUUGUUUGGCUAUUUGAGCCGGUAAAGGGGGCUUUAAUAUUCUUGGGUAGCAGAAUUACUUUUGUUUCCCUCCAGGCCUGAAGGCACACACUUUCUAGUAGGCUUAAAUUGAAGAUAUGGCAAAUAGGAGUGGCAAUAUUGUCCGCUAUUAUCCUCAAUAAUUUUUCAUCCAAGUUGUCUGACCCCUGUGGCUUAUCAUUGUUGAUAGACAACAAUCAUUUUUUAACCUCUUCCACACUCAAUUUAUGGAAUAAAAAAUUGCAAUGGUUGUCUUUUAUAAUUUGAUCAGUUAUACUUGGAUGUGUAGUAUCAGCAUUUGUUGCUGGCAUUUCAUGCUUAAGUUUGCAAAUGUGCCAAUUAAAAAAUGCUGAAAUUGGCAA